rnacentral:rRNA from 1 species
UGGGGAAUAAUGCACAAUGGGCGCAAGCCUGAUGCAGCGACGCCGCGUGGGGGAUGACGGCCUUCGGGUUGUAAACUCCUUUCGCUAGGGACGAAGCUUUUUGUGACGGUACCUAGAUAAGAAGCACCGGCUAACUACGUGCCAGCAGCCGCGGUAAUACGUAGGGUGCGAGCGUUGUCCGGAAUUACUGGGCGUAAAGGGCUCGUAGGUGGUUUGUCGCGUCGUCUGUGAAAUUCCGGGGCUUAACUCCGGGCGUGCAGGCGAUACGGGCAUAACUUGAGUACUGUAGGGGUAACUGGAAUUCCUGGUGUAGCGGUGAAAUGCGCAGAUAUCAGGAGGAACACCGAUGGCGAAGGCAGGUUACUGGGCAGUUACUGACGCUGAGGAGCGAAAGCAUGGGUAGCGAACAGG